GACUUCAGCUAUGCCACCCUGAACAAGCCCAAUGUCUGAUCUCGGAAGCUAAACAGGGUCGGACGUUGUUAGUACUUGGAUGGGAGACAACCUAGGAAGACCAAGUACUAUAGGCA
rnacentral:rRNA from 1 species